GGUUCAUUAGUGUAGUGAUUGUAACGUUUGCUUCACACGCGAAAAGACUCUGGUUCAAUCCCAGACGGAACCA